rnacentral:rRNA from 2 species
UACGUAGGGAGCAAGCGUUGUCCGGAUUCACUGGGUGUAAAGGGUGCGCAGGCGGGAGAGUAAGUCAGAGGUGAAAUCUCACAGCUUAACUGUGAAACUGCCUUUGAUACUGCUUUUCUUGAGUUCGGGAGAGGUUGAUGGAAUUCCAGGUGUAGCGGUGAAAUGCGUAGAUAUCUGGAAGAACACCAGUGGCGAAGGCGGUCAACUGGCCCGUAACUGACGCUCAGGCACGAAAGCGUGGGUAGCGAACAGG